rnacentral:rRNA from 1 species
GAUGAACGCUAGCGGGAGGCCUAACACAUGCAAGCCGAGCGGGAUUUGAGACUAGCUUGCUAGUCUUAAUGAGAGCGGCGUACGGGUGCGGAACACGUGUGCAACCUGCCUUUAUCUGGGAGAUAGCCUUUCGAAAGGAAGAUUAAUAUCCCAUACUAUAAUGAUUGGCAUCAAUUAUUAUUGAAAGCUCCGGCGGAUAGAGAUGGGCACGCGCAAGAUUAGAUAGUUGGUGAGGUAACGGCUCACCAAGUCGAUGAUCUUUAGGGGGCCUGAGAGGGUGAUCCCCCACACUGGUACUGAGACACGGACCAGACUCCUACGGGAGGCAGCAGUGAGGAAUAUUGGACAAUGGGUGAAAGCCUGAUCCAGCCAUCCCGCGUGAAGGAUUAAGGACCUAUGGUUUGUAAACUUCUUUUCUACAGGGAUAAACCUACUCUCGUGAGAGUAGCUGAAGGUACUGUAGGAAUAAGCACCGGCUAACUCCGUGCCAGCCGCCGCAGUAAAAC